rnacentral:ncRNA from 1 species
CUAAGCGGGAAGCAGACCCCGAGAUGAGAUCUCCCACUAGGUAACUAGGUAAGACCCCUGGUAGACCACCAGGUUGAUAGGCUGGAUGUGUAAGGGCAGCAAUGUCUUCAGCAGACCAGUACUAAUCGGUCGAGGUCUUGACUUU